rnacentral:lncRNA from 1 species
CUAGUAAUAAAUAUUUCAGACAGCCAAUAUUCUACCAGAAUGAGAAUGACCCAACCGACUGGGCCAUAAAUGUCAUAACUGAACUGAAUUAAGUUUUACAGAAUACCUAGGAAAAUAAUGUGACACUUGAGCAUCUUGUCCAUGUCCAUCUCGACUUGGUGACUCCAACGCCAACCUGUCCAACUGAUAGUUGUGACCAUGUUUACUCCCUAGCCACAAGUUCCUCAUUGUCACUCAAUCCUGUAUCACAUCACCAGAGGAUCCAAACAAAACAUCGCAGCCAAAUUCAGUUAAUUGCCCAACAGAAACCAAAUUGGGGUUGAGAUUCGGCACAUGUAGACUAGAUGGUAAAGUAACAGUAUCCAUCUGAAUUGUCUCAUGACCAGGAAUAGGUAGGCGUUGCCCGUUGGCAUCACCAGACAUAUGGUUGAAGGUAGAAAAUUCAAUAAACCACAGAUAAGAUGAGGAAGUACAUGUGAGUCCCAGAAAGGCAAAAGCCGAGUUGAGAGCAAGUGGGAGAGCCUUAGCUAACUCGCUUUGCACUAGUUGUCCUAUAUCAAGAUAAGACCCUUCCGAAGAGGACACGAUGGCUGAGAACGGUCCCAAAAAAGAGUGUCAAAACUUGGAGCUUGCGCAAGUUGAGUUGCCAAGCUAGUUGUUGUAACACCCUCCUACUAAUAGGUUCGUUUUAAAAAUAAAACAGUGGAGCAAUAAUAGGGUAUGCUAUGCUACUUAUACCGUAUAUAUAAAUAUAUCAUUUGAUGUUGUGAACUCAUCCAAUUAAUUUCUUCCUCAUAAUCUAGGAUUGUGCUUAUAUGUACCCAUAUAAUUAAUCAGUCAACAUAGAAACUUCUCACAAUGUCAUAUAUGACUUAUUUAUUUUACACCGUACAAUACCCUAUACCAGAAGUCCAGAAGGACACAUAUACAUAUAGGACAGAAGUAUCGAGCUUCACAGGUUCGGACCAGAGUAACCAUAUACUUGCCCUUAAGGCCACUAUAUUUUACAAAACCAUAUCUCACAUUAUACUAGUAUGCAACCACUCAUAGCAUAUGCACAUGAUGAGAGUAAGAGUCUCAAACGAGUUUUAAAACAAAAAACGAGGAUCAAGACACAAUCUUUGAUAUCUACCUGGCGUCGUCACCAUGAUGGUCGACCCCGGAACUCGAUGAUACCAUUUUGUAAAUUUGCAGUGUGUGAACCGAUAAAGUCUACUGUCGCUCUGAAAUGGAAAGUAAGGGUCGGUGCUAAUCACUGAGUGAGGAUCUUUGUUAGAUCACUUUAAGGUACACAUAAUCAUAUAGAAAGUAUAUGGGAUAUAACACAUAAGGCUAAUUCUAUAGUCUAAUUCAUAUCCAUAUUUUAUUUGGGAUCCCGGCUCACAUAUGCUGACGACCCAUAUACAUGUUAGUGGCACCAAAUCGAGCCGCAUAUAGUGGCGUCUACCAAGGCCCACGAUGAUAGCUAGUUGUGGCACUUACCAAAGCCCACAACAAUAGUUAUUUGUGGCGCUUACCAAGGCCCACCGCGUAACAGAAGUGCAAUAAGCACAAUCGCCAGCAUACAUGCUCUAACUAGGUGAUCAAUCAAUUACCAGAUUUAUUCAAUAAUCAGUAAUAGCUACUACUCAGAUUAACAUAUAUAUUAAAUCAGAUAUAUCAGCAAAGUAACAGAACAUGUAUCAUAUUAAGUAAUAAAUAUGG